rnacentral:lncRNA from 1 species
AAUGAACAGGCAGCGACGCAGAUGCUCGCUGCGGCAUUCACGGUGGCAAUCGGUUUCUACUAGUGCAUAUACACUGCAUAUGACUUCAUGCCAUCGCUUUUUGUUGUAUAAAAUUAACACCAAUUAUGGCUGGCUGAAGUAAAGCAUUGACUUUGAAUGACUGUCGUGCUAACUGUUCUUGUAAUCCUAUCUGAUAAUUUAGGUUUUCAUAUUGCAAUUCCCUAAGAAAAAUAUUCAUAGUGUUAAUAAGAAUUGAAUGGGGCAUUUCACCAAAUCUCUGGGGUCCCGGAGAGUGUAUGCAUGCGCUUUAGCUGGUGAGUGUCACUUCUAUGUGCUCAAUGGCGACUGAUGCUGCCUGUUAGAGGAAGAGGGAAAGUCAAAGAUACAAGAAAGGGAAGGUUCUCUGCAGAUGUUGCAGACUGUAGAAGGUCGACACAACCCACUGCUCAACUGUGCAUAUUGGAGAAGGGAGUUGCUAUUUUUUUUGCAUAGAUUGCAGCUACAGAGUGCACCACGUGACCAGCUUUGGCGCUCUUUAGUCUCGGUUCAAGAGGUGCUUCGGCACAAGUGGAUGUCUUCAGAAGCUGUCGCGUGCAAACAGCUGAAAUGAAGCGUGAAAACCUAAGCAACGUUAGAGUGUAACCAAGCCUGAGCCAUUUACGGCAGUCAACGCAUAAUUCCUAGACAGCU